UACAGAGGGUGCGAGCGUUAAUCGGAAUUACUGGGCGUAAAGCGUGCGUAGACGGUUUCGUAAGUCGGGUGUGAAAGCCCCGGGCUCAACCUGGGAAUUGCAUUCGAGACUGCGUAGCUAGGGUGCGGAAGAGGGAAGCGGAAUUUCCGGUGUAGCGGUGAAAUGCGUAGAUAUCGGAAGGAACAUCAGUGGCGAAAGCGGCUUCCUGGUCCAGCACCGACGUUCAGGCACGAAAGCAUGGGGAGCAAACAGG
rnacentral:rRNA from 1 species